AGCAGCCGCGGUAAUUCCAGCUCCAAUAGCGUAUAUUAAAGUUGUUGCAGUUAAAAAGCUCGUAGUUGAAUUUCGGGAUCAAUUUAUCGGCCGUGCCAAUGGUAUGAACUGGUACAAUUGGUUUCUCCCUUCUGACGAAGCAUGAUGUCAUUAAUUUGGUGUCGUGGGGAAUCAGGACUGUUACUUUGAAAAAUUAGAGUGUUUAAAGCAAGCAUUAGCUUGAAUACAUUAGCAUGGAAUAAUGAAAUAGGACGUUUGAUCCUAUUCGUGGUUUCUAGGGUCGACGUAAUGAUUAAUAGGGAUAGUUGGGGCAUUAGUAUUCAAUUGUCAGAGGUGAAAUUCUUGGAUUUAUUGAAGACUAACUAC
rnacentral:rRNA from 1 species